rnacentral:rRNA from 1 species
GGCGCACCAGGCGCGAAACCUCCGCAAUGCGGGAAACCGCGACGGGGUCAGCCGGAGUGCCGGUGCAUUGCACCGGCUGUCGGGGAGCCUAAACAGCUCCCCAUAGCAAGGGCCGGGCAAGGCCGGUGGCAGCCGCCGCGGUAAUACCGGCGGCCCGAGUGGCGGCCACUAUUAUUGGGCCUAAAGCGUCCGUAGCCGGGCUGGUAAGUCCUCCGGGAAAUCUGGUCGCUUAACGAUCAGACUUCCGGAGGAUACUGCCAGCCUAGGGACCGGGAGAGGCCGGGGGUAUUCCCGGGGUAGGGGUGAAAUCCUGUAAUCCCGGGAGGACCACCUGUGGCGAAGGCGCCCGGCUGGAACGGGUCCGACGGUGAGGGACGAAGGCCAGGGGAGCGAACCGGAUUAGAUACCCGGGUAGUCCUGGCUGUAAAGGAUGCGGGCUAGGUGUCGGGUGAGCUUCGGGCUCGCCCGGUGCCGUAGGGAAGCCGUUAAGCCCGCCGCCUGGGGAGUACGGCCGCAAGGCUGAAACUUAAAGGAAUUGGCGGGGGAGCACUACAACGGGUGGAGCCUGCGGUUUAAUUGGAUUCAACGCCGGG